rnacentral:rRNA from 1 species
CUACGGAGGGGGCUAGCGUUGUUCGGAAUUACUGGGCGUAAAGAGCUUGUAGGCGGCCUGUUAAGUCUGAUGUGAAAACCCUCGGCUCAACCGAGGAAGUGCAUCGGAUACUGGCAGGCUUGAGUAUGGGAGAGGAGAGCGGAAUUCCCGGUGUAGAGGUGAAAUUCGUAGAUAUUGGGAAGAACACCAGUGGCGAAGGCGGCCACCUGGCCCGGUACUGACGCUGAGGUGCGAAAGCGUGGGGAGCAAACAGGAUUAGAAACCCGAGUAGUCC